rnacentral:rRNA from 1 species
UACGUAGGGUGCGAGCGUUAAUCGGAAUUACUGGGCGUAAAGUGUGCGCAGGCGGCCGCGCAAGUCGAGUGUGAAAGCCCCGGGCUUAACUUGGGAAUUGCGCUCGAAACUACGUGGCUGGAGUGUGGCAGAGGAAGGUGGAAUUCCAGGUGGUAGCGGUGAAAUGCGUAGAUAUCGAUAAGGAAGACCAGUGGCGAAGGCGGGUCUCUGGACAGUUCCUGACGCUGAGGCACGAAGGCCAGGGGAGCAAACGGG